rnacentral:rRNA from 1 species
UACGGGGGUGGCAAGCGUUGUUCGGAAUUACUGGGCGUAAAGGGCUCGUAGGCGGCCAACUAAGUCAGACGUGAAAUCCCUCGGCUUAACCGGGGAACUGCGUCUGAUACUGGAUGGCUUGAGUUCGGGAGAGGGAUGCGGAAUUCCAGGUGUAGCGGUGAAAUGCGUAGAUAUCUGGAGGAACACCGGUGGCGAAGGCGGCAUCCUGGACCAUGACUGACGCUGAGGAGCGAAAGCCAGGGGAGCAAACGGG